rnacentral:rRNA from 1 species
GAUGAACGCUGGCGGCGUGCCUAAUACAUGCAAGUCGAACGAACAGACGCGGAGCUUGCUCCUCUGACGUUAGCGGCGGACGGGUGUGUCACACGUGGAUAACCCCCCUAUCAUACUGGUAUAACUUCGGGACUCCGGAUCUAAUCCCGUAUAAUAUAUUGAUCCGCAUGGUUCAAUAGUGAAAUACGGUUUUGCUGUCACUUCUCGCUGUAUCCGCGCCGCAUUAGAUAGUUGGUAAGGUAACGGCUUACCACGGGAACGAUGCGUAGCCGAACUGAGAGGGGGAUAGGCGACACGGGAACUGAGACGCGGUCAAGACGACUACGGGAGGCAGCAGUAGGGAAUCGGCGGCAAUGGGGGAAAGCCUGACGGAGCAAGGCCGAGUGAGUGAUGAAGGUGUCCGGAGCGGAAAACUCGGUUAUGAGGUGAGAACAAAUGUGGAAGUAAAUAAGCACGUAGUGACGGUACCUAAUCAGAAAGCCACGGCUAACUACGUG